rnacentral:rRNA from 1 species
UACGUAGGGUGCAAGCGUUAAUCGGAAUUACUGGGCGUAAAGCGUGCGCAGGCGGCUCUAUAAGACAGAUGUGAAAUCCCCGGGCUCAACCUGGGAACUGCAUUUGUGACUGUAGAGCUGGAGUACGGCAGAGGGGGAUGGAAUUCCGCGUGUAGCAGUGAAAUGCGUAGAUAUGCGGAGGAACACCGAUGGCGAAGGCAAUCCCCUGGGCCUGUACUGACGCUCAUGCACGAAAGCGUGGGGAGCAAACAGG